UGGAAUAUAGUAUAAAUGGCAAGUGCGUGUAUCAGCUGACAAGGCGUAGGUUCGAUUCCUACUAUUCCAUA
rnacentral:tRNA from 1 species